UCUACUAAAGAUGAUGCAAAUGCUGACUGAACAAUCUGAAACCCAAAGGACUCGAGGAGAGACAUGUUCUGCUGGGGAGAAAAAGAACCCCAAGAGAAAGCAACAUUCACCUUUAAGUGCAUUACAGAGUGACAAUUAACCCACUGAAGACCCGCCACCCCAUUAACUCUCUAGAGUGGAGCUGCUCCUGCCGUCUCUGUUUAACAGAAGCAUAGCCUGAGAUCCCGAGACCUCAAGGUAAAUGUCUGAACCCCAUCACCUCAGGUACAAACGUUUAUCUCCUUACUGUGUAAUCAAAGGAAGACACCAAUGUAUUCGAUAUCGUGGAGGCUAAAGACACCUCUGUUCCUACUCCCGUCCCAAAUGUCUGUGCACAUCAGGACAGGCCUUACCAUUCUCGGUCAUUAGCUUUUAAGUAAAUGUUAACACAUUUGAACAGAACACCUUAUGCUAAUGAGAUACCACCUGUAACUGU